UGUUAUGUAGAUGAAUUAUGACCUCAGGGUUGAACCCUCAAGGUUCAGAUCUCAGCUUGACUGCAGACCAGCCUGCAAUUCCCCACAGUCCUUCAGUCUUUAUGAGCAGCCAGGGAGGUGAAAAGAACCCCCUCAUCUUCUGCAAGAUGGAACAUGACCAACAGGUCCCAGCUUCUUCUGGGACUUCUUUUUAUGAUGGACUGUAUACCCUCAAACUGUGAGCCAAAACAAGCCUUUUGUCCUUCAGUUGCUUUUGUCAGGUAGAAGAAAGCAUAUAUCCAUUGAUCAUAAAAGCCCAGUUAGGCCAACAGCAUUGGUGUGAUGGAAUCUGCAUUGAAGUGUGACAUGCCGUUUCUGGCCAAGGAUUCUCCAGUCAGCAGAAUAGUGCUUCAAUGGGGAAAUCUAAUGUCAAGGUUGUUGAUUCCCUCCAAGUUACAGCUGCACCAAAGGCUGCCUUUGGCAGCAACUUCU
rnacentral:lncRNA from 1 species